GCCCAGGUGGUGGAAUUGGCAGACACGCUACCUUGAGGGGGUAGUGCCGCAAGGCUUGCAGGUUCAAAUCCUGUCCUGGGCA
rnacentral:tRNA from 1 species